rnacentral:rRNA from 1 species
UACUGCGUUUAAGUGUGUAGCUAUAGGCUGUGUUGGCAAAUCCGCACGGACUGGCGAAGCACGAAAGUACACAGAAGCCCCGGCGGAUGUGAGCGGACCUAAAAACUGCCAAGAAAAACCCCUAAGGCCAGGCCAAAGCGGCCCGUACCGCAAACCGACACAGGUAGUCGAGAUGAAUAUUCUAAGGCGCUCGGGUGAGCCGCGGAGAAGGAACUAGGCAAAUUGAUGCUGUAACUUCGGGAUAAAGCAUACCGCUUUCGGGCGGUCCCAGUAAACUGGUUCAACCAACUGUUUAACAAAAACACAGGGCCCUGCAAAAUCGAAAGAUGACGUAUAGAGCCUGAUACCUGCCCGGUGCCGGAAGGUUAAGGAAGGAUGUUCGCAGCAAUGCAAAGCUUCUGACUGAAGCCCCGGUAAACGGCGGCCGUAACAAUAACGGUCCUAAGGUAGCGAAAUUCCUUGUCGGGUAAGUUCCGACCUGCACGAAUGGUCUAAUGAGUUGAACGCUGUCUCCUCCGCGAGCCCGGUGAAAUUGUAGUAUCGGUGAAGAUGCCGGUUACCCGUCACGGGACGGAAAGACCCCAUGAACCUCCACUACAGCUUUGCAUUGAUCUUGGGCAACAGAUGUGUAGGAUAGUUGGGAGGCUUUGAAGCGGUGUCGCCAGGCAUCGUGGAGCCAACGUUGAAAUACCAACCUUUUGUUGCCUAGGACCUAACCCCUGACGGGGGACAUUGCAUGGUGGGUAGUUUGACUGGGGUGGUCGCCUCCUAAAAUGUAACGGAGGCUCGCAAAGGUACCCUCAGUACGGUUGGUAAUCGUACGCAGAGCGCAUUAGUAGAAGGGUGCUUGACUGUGAGACAUACAGGUCGAGCAGGAGCGAAAGCUGGCUAAAGUGAUCCGGUGGUUCUGUAUGGAAGGGCCAUCGCUCAAAGGAUAAAAGGUACUCUGGGAUAACAGGCUGAUCUCCCCCAAGAGCUCAUAUCGACGGGGAGGUUUGGCACCUCGAUGUCGGUUCGUCACAUCCUGGGGCUGGAGAAGGUCCCAAGGGUUCGGCUGUUCGCCGAUUAAAGUGGCACGUGAACUGGGUUCAGAACGUCGCAAGACAGUUCGGUCCCUAUCUGUGAUGGGCGUUAGUGAAUUGAGGGGACGUGACCUUAGUACGAGAGGACCGGGUCGCACGUACCGCUGGUGUAUCAGUUGUCCCGCCAGGGGCAAUGCUGAGUAGCUACGUACGGACAGGAUAAACGCUGAAAGCAUCUAAGCGUGAAACCUACCCCGAGAUGAGUUCACUUUCAAGGGUCGUCGGAGACUACGACGUCGAUAGGCUACAGGUGUAAAGGUGGUAACAUCAAAGCCGAGUAGUACUAAUUGCCCGUACGCUUUAAUCA